rnacentral:misc_RNA from 1 species
GAUGAAGAACGCAGCGAAAUGCGAUACUUGGUGUGAAUUGCAGAAUCCCGUGAGCCAUCGAGUCUUUGAACGCAAGUUGCGCCCGAAGCCAUUAGGCCGAGGGCACGCCUGCCUGGGCGUCACACGUCGUUGCCCCCCCAUCUACUCCUUCGGGAUUGCGGGGGGCGGAUGAUGGCCUCCCGUGCGCCUCGCCGCGCGGUUGGCAUAAAUGCCAAGUCCUCGGCGACGCACGCCACGACAAUCGGUGGUUGCGAAACCUCGGUUGCCCGUCGUGUGCGGUCGUCGCGCAUCGAGGGCUCGAAAAAAUUGCCGGGUUCCGGCUCGGCUUUCAACGCGACCCCAGGUCAGGCGGGGUUACCCGCUGAAUUUAAGCAUAUCAAUAAGCGGAGGA